AAGACAAUUUGUUGCACGCAAUAAAUUGGACGCCGCUUCAUGCUGCAGCAGCGAAGAGAGGCCGGUGAAUUGGGUCCGCAAAUUCAAUGGCAGCUGCUCGCCUUAGUGUUGGGUUGCAGGCAAUCCUAGUGAUGUCCCUCUUACUACUGCAGAUUAUGCCAUUUCUGCCAUGUACGCUCGCCACCGGAAGCAAGUCUGUCGAGCUACUGAUGGGCAGGGAGACGCAUCAUGGAGGCCAUCAUCGUCUCUUAGCUCUAAGCAAAUCAACACGGUCUCCUCGAAUCCUACUCCAUGAGAACUGGGACGGGCCGGAACAUAAUUAACCCUCCUAAUCCACAUCCACUAGGCAACUAAUACCGUUGUUGGGUUCGUCGUUCGGCGAACAUGGUUGCACAUAAGCUGCGAGCUAGGGAAGGAAGGUCUUUCUACUGGUUGUUUCACAACCUGGGUUUUGGUUUCUUUGGGUUUAAAGAUAAGGGUUUUAUUUUACCUUCUCUUGAUAAACAUUGUAAGCAAGUUGUUUUAGGUGAAUAAAGUGGUAUUAAUGUUCAUCCUCAA